ensembl:miRNA
UGGGCUUCAUAGUUACCCUUACAAAAACACUGACUUUGGUUCUCAAUACAGUAAGUGCUUUUUGUUGGGGUAGUUUU